CCUACGGGAGGCAGCAGUGAGGAAUAUUGGUCAAUGGACGCAAGUCUGAACCAGCCAUGCCGCGUGCAGGAAGACGGCUCUAUGAGUUGUAAACUGCUUUUUUACGAGGGUAAACGCAGAUACGCGUGUCUGUAUAAAAGUAUCCUACGAAUAAGGCUCGGCUAACUCUGUGACAGCAGCCGCGGUAAUACUGAGGAUUCAAGCGUUAUCCGGAUUUAUUGGGUUUAAAGGGUGCGUAGGCGGUCGGAUAAGUUAGAGGUGAAAUCCAGAGGCUCAACUUCGGAAUUGCAUGUGAUACUGUUCGGCUAGAGAGUAGUUGCGGUAGGCGGAAUGUAUGGUGUAGCGGUGGAAUGCUUAGAGAUCGUACAGAACACCGAUUGCGAAGGCAGCUUACCAAGCUACUUCUGACGUUGAGGCACGAAAGCGUGGGGAGCAAACAGGAUUAGAUACCCCUGUAGUC
rnacentral:rRNA from 1 species